rnacentral:tRNA from 1 species
GCCGGUGUGAUGGAAUUGGUAGACGUGCCGGACUCAAAAUCCGGUGGUGGCAACACCGUAUCGGUUCGACUCCGAUUACCGGCACCA